rnacentral:rRNA from 1 species
UACGAACUGUGCCAACGUUAUUCGGAAUCACUGGGCUUACAGGGUGCGUAGGCGGCUUGUUAAGUAGGGUGUGAAAGCCCCCGGCUCAACCGGGGAAUUGCGCCCUAAACUGGCGAGCUGGAGUGAGAUAGGGGUGUGUGGAACUUCCGGUGGAGCGGUGAAAUGUGUUGAUAUCGGAAGGAACGCCGGUGGCGAAAGCGACACACUGGAUCUUGUCUGACGCUGAGGCACGAAAGCCAGGGGAGCGAACGGG